GACAUCUUAUCAAAGUGGUUACUGAGUUUGACUCGAAAUCAAAUCCCUUCGGGGGCGCAGGUUCAAAUCCUGCAGAUGUCG